UUGUAGGUCCUCUCGUGGAUUGUGGAGAAUAAGUUUUGUAUAAAUCAUUGUGUGCAUCUCUUAGGUUUUGUACAGCUUUUGAUAUUUGUGUUGAGCAUAUAGAAUUCUUAAGCAAAAGCUGAUGUGCAUAUAUUUGAGAUAAAUCAUCAAGUGUUCCAUGUUUACUUGGUGAUUUAUCAAACACUUUAAUCAUUCAUAUUGCAUUCAUAUGCAUGUCGGUGACUCAUACGGUUGAGUGCACCAAGACCGUGGUGGCGGUUUUCCUCCGGCGAGCUUGAAGCAAUCGUGGCCAGUAUUGCGUUCAACAUAAGGAGUGUCGAAGAUCAUCCCGUGACAGAAGUUGAGUUACGAAGAAGUCAGUAAACAUUAUCUAGAAUGAGUCUAGGAUAAGUGUGUGAGUACUUCUUGUAAUCAUCGUUCUAUAGUGGAUUUGAGUUGGACUGAGGAGUCCCGUGGAUUUUACCUAGAGGUGGGGUUUUACCACGUAAAAUAAUUCUCUGCGUGUUCUUUUAUUUUAAGCUUUGCACAUCUCAGGAUUGAUAACUAAUAUCAAUCCUGCUUCAAAGGUUGAUCAUUAUUUAUUGCAAAAAAUUCGAAUUAGCUUAUUUAACCUUCUCCAGGCAUAUAUAGAUAUCCUACAGGUAUU
rnacentral:lncRNA from 1 species